CUGCGGGCGACGCCGGGAUUUUGGUUUGGGUAACUGGGUAGAUGGGGGCGCCAUUAUCGCGCUUCUCUUGCAGGGGGCCGGUGAAGGUUAUACGAGAGGCUCCAUCUGUCCUUAUUGAAAGUGCUCUUAACGCAGGGACCAGCCUUCUUGCUGACGCCUGGGCCACCGAGCACAGGGACAGGACGGGGUUGCUGGAGGUGCAAGCUGGGAGAAAGCAGAGAACUGACUCCAUGCAGAGUUGGGAUUAAGAGCCCCUGGACAAGGGGCCAAGGCAGUGAAGGACGUCCAUCACUCAUCUGCCACUAUCCUCCUCACAUUUAAUCCUCACAACACCCCUGUGAGGUAGGUAUCAUCGCCCCCUCUUACAGAUGAGGAAACUGAGGCUCACACAUGCCCAGGGGCACACAGUCGACAGGACGGGUCUACAGUUCCAACGCUUGGGUUCUCACCCCGACCACGCCCCACCCAGGGUGGCCAGAAUUCCCUUAUAGUAGCAAAAAGACAGCUGCCGCGGACAUGAAUACACACAGCACCAGCACACAUAAAAGCAGCAGCUCAGUGAGCAUCUCCCAGCCCUGGGUUUCUGGUUCAAGCGCAUUUGGGGGCCAGGCGCCGUGGCUCAUGCCUGUAAUCCCAGCACUUUGGGAGACCGAAGUGGGCGGAUCACCUGAGGUCAUGAGUUCGAGACUAGUCUGGCCAACAUGGUGAAAUCCUGUCUCUACCGAAAAUACAAAAAUUAGCUGGGCGUGGUUGGGUGCUUGUAAUCCCAGCUACCCAGGAGGCUGAGGCAGGAGUAUCUGGGAGGCGGAGGUUACAGUGAGUUGAGAGUUGAGAUCAUGCCACUGCACUCCAGCCGGGGAGACAAGACCAAAACUGUCUCCAAAAAAAAAAAAGCAUCUGGGGGACACUUCUGGCCAAGUGGUUCUUUCUUACAUUUGCAGAGUAAACAGAAGUGGAUGGCAGCAGGGUGUGUUGUGGUCAGCCCGUUCCCAGGGAGAGGCCAUGGUUACAUGGCCCCAGGCAGGCUCCCCAGGAGUGGGCUGCUGGCUCCCAGGCUCCCUUUCCAUGCAGGAGCAGAGUCUCCGUGGCCAGCAGGAAAGCCCAGGGGUCUGCCUCCCUCCCACGGGCCCCCACAGCAGAGCUGCAGUUGGGAUCAGCCAGGACACGGCCCCCAACUGCUAUGCUCUUCUGCCUCUUGGUCACCUCAGAUGUUACAGAGGACUUCAAGUUUUUUCUGGCUAGCCUAUCUGGGAAAAUUCUUUUUGCAUAAAGUGUGUCAGGAUGGCAUUGAGGGGCUGGAGUAAGAUUUUUGUUUUGCAGGUGAACCUAAAUAAUGGUGGGAAUCUCUUGUUUUUUUAAUACCUUCUGUUUUAAGUUUUUCUUUUGUUUUCAUCUUGGAAGAAGGAAAUUUAGAAAUAAGACAGGAAAAGAAUGGCCCAGAAAUUCAGCACAAAGAGAGGUGUUCACAUUGACGCCAUCUGUGGGUCACAUACGAACGCCUCUGGGACAGAGCUCUAAAACGAGUCACGUGUUGUAGGGAGUGGGCCUGUGGCCAAGGCAGUCCACGCAGUGUGCAGGGACGCAGGCCCCCUUACCAUGGAAGCCCCACCCAGAAGGAAGUGGGUGCCCCAUGCAGGCUGAGGUGGAUGAGGGGACAGUGGUGUGCUCACAGCUGUCAGCUCCCCACUGAAGCCGCAAACCAGCAGAUGUGGGCAGGGGCUCGAGUGGUGUCUGACUACCCAGGUCACACGUGACUUGAGCGUGAAAGCUGUCAGCUCCCGGCACGGGGCUCUGGUGGGGCUGGGAACACCAGGACACACAUGGGCUGAAGCUUCCAGAGACAGUGAGACACGGAAGGGACAGAGAGGUGCCCUCCACGCAGUGCGGCCAACUGUUUCCAGGCUAAACUUUCCAAAGAGAGAGAUCUGAGCUCUUCACCCUCAUUUCAACAUUCUGAUGGCUUGCACGGGACUCCCGCGGAGAGAGAAACUUGGUGGCCGCAAGUCAUCCUCUCUGCAAUCUGUGCAAAGGCCUCCAUGGUCUAUGCAGCGUUCCUAUGCUAUGCUCCCACCCUUCGCCUCCAGCCCCCUCAGUACACAUCCACUGCGGCAAAUGUGCUGACACACUUACAGCCUCACAAGGCCCAGGUUCAUGUCCUCCUCCUCACUGUGUAUGCAUAGGUUUAUCCGCUUCACCUGUUGCUGGGGAACACUGCUCUCCGGGGGACUUGGGGGACGACACUGUAAACAUGACUUCCUGGCCUGAUGGUGGCAGGGCUGUGUGUGCGAGUCACUGUCCAGGGACAGCACUGAGACCACGGUGACAUCGAGGAUGCCGCUGGGAGCUGUCACUGCAGGAAGGUUGGUGGGGAGGGAAGUCAUGUCACACCCAAGCAUCAGGGGAGACCCCCUGCCAGGUCAGGACCCUGAAGUCCAGGUCAAGAAUCUUCUACCUUGCUACGGUCCCCUGUGUUACCCUCCUGUGGUGAGAAGCGUGGGUGACAUGCCUCUUCCAAGUUGGACAGCUGCCCGCCAUGACUCCAACAAAUGUGGAGAUGACAAGUUGGCCAUCUAGCUCAAGCCAAGUGGACGCAGAAGCAAGCAACCGGGAAACUGACAAGACUCACACUAACUGGGCUUCUGGCAAGGACCCCGCAGUCUGCCUGGGGUUUGCACAGGGCAGUGAUCCCAGCAGGGCAGUGAGGAGUGUCACGUAUACCACGUGGGCACACCUCAAACAACAUUCUAGAAAGAACGCCCAGGCUAGAGUGCAGUGGCAUGAUCACGGCUCACUGCAGCUCCCACCUCCUGUGCUCAAGAGAUCCUCCCACCUCAGCCUCCUGAGUAGCUGGGACCACAGGCGCACGCCACGACGCCCAGCUAAUUUUUAAAUUUUUUGUCUUGCUCUGUCACCCAGGCUGGUCUUGAACUUCUAGCCUGGAGUGAUCCUCCUGCCUCAGCCUCUCAAAUUGCUGGGAUUACAGGCCUGAGAUUACGGGCCUAGAAGGAUCUCCAUGAACUCUAGACAGGGUCUCUGCCUCCCUCAUCCUAGUGAGGUCCUCCCAACACGGAAUGAGCAGGAGCCGGAUAGGUGUGGCCUAAGUCCUCUCAUCCCCGUGUGGGAGCAGCUGUGGUCUUUUGGGGGCUCUCCCCUCCUCUCUCCCCAUGUCUGGACACACUCCCCGGCGGGGCAGGAGCUGGCCCCACCCCGCACUCUGUGCACAUCUUCCUCCCACAGCGCUCGCACAGGGCCAGGUGCCCUGAGGCCCUCGGUGACAGCCACCCUCUGUGUGAUGUCCCUUCUGGUGCGCCCUGGCCCCACACUCACCAUCGCCCUCCUUCUCGCCCUCACUCUCCUGGUCGCCUUCAUAGCCAGAGCAGCAGUCCAGGCUCCAGUCGAGGAAGCUGCCCAGCAGCGUCUCCUCCUGGCUGGACAGCUCCGCAGUGGGGGUGGUAACGAAGCUGCCCCUGUCUUCCUGGAGGCUGUUCUCCCGCUUCCUGUAAGGUGGAGAGCCCAGGAGACCCAGUCAUGGACGGCGGCACUGGGAGGCCAGGCCCGCCACACCUGCCUCUAACACCCGCAUGCCCCAGCCUGUCACCACAUGCUCCCAAAGGGUCUGCUGCGAAGAAAAUGCCGGUAAAGCUAGAACAGGUAUAAGCCCUUUAGGCAGGGCCAACCUGGAGGACCCCGCUCAGGCAAACUCAGGCCCCAGGUCUGGGUGUGAAGCCCAGCCCACUUGGCUCAGCUGUGGGGCGUGGGCCAACCAUCUGGUCCCCUGGAAACCCCUAGGAUGAUGCCACCUUCCACUGUUUUUUUUUUUUUUUUUUCAGGUGGUCUUGCUCUGUCACCCAGGCUAAAGUACAGUGGUGUGAUCUUGGCUCACUGCAACCUCCACCUCCCAGGUUCAAGUGAGUCUCCUGCCUCAGGCUCCUGAGUAGCUGGGACUACAGAUGCCCGCCAUCACACCCAGCUAAUUUUUAUAUUUUUAGUAGAGAUGGGGUUUCACCAUGAUGGCCAGGUUGGUCUCGAACUCCUAACCUCAGGUGAUCCACCCACCUCAGCCUCCCAAAGUGCUGGGAUUACAGGCAUGAGCCACUGCGCCCAGCCCCUCUGGUGUUGAUUAAUAAGGUGCAGGCAGUGCUUAGCCCGGCGCCAGGCAGAUUGCAUGGAAUGGCCUGGCCUUGGGCGGUGCUGACACCCACACCCAAGUGGGGUCAAAUCUUGCUCAGGAUGGGGCUGGAGGCCAGUGUGUGGGCCUCAGCCUGCGAAAAGCCACCACACCAGCUGAGCCUUUCCACUUCCUGACCCCAGGGCCUGGUGGAGGAGGGGGGUGGAGACAGCUACCCCAGUGUCACCCCUGGGGGUCUGUUUCAGAAGACUGAUGGGGCUGUGGGGGGCCUCUGAGAAGCGGGUUUAACACAGCGAGGCUGAGCACAGGGCCAGGCCCCCUCCUGGAGUAGCCGUGCGUAUCUGCAUGGACUUUCCUCCUGAUGACCCUGGCCCCAGGGAGUCGGCGCAUGUGUGGAGUGACACAGGAGGGUCAGGUCUCCUGCCUUCCACACAAUGGAAAGUGCUGUCAUGCUUCUUGGGGAGGAAGCAGCAGCAGGGGCUUCGGCUGCUUCCCCAGGGCUCCCCAGGAGUUGCGGUCUCCUGCCAGGAGCCCACUCCCGACACAACGCUCCUGGAGGCAGCCCUGCCUGGUCCUAUAUUGACAGGAAAGACCCAGCCACCCAGUGCCCGCCCUUGGGAAGGUUACGGGUGCACACGGUGCUGAGCAGUCACGGCGCAGGGCCAGCAGCACGGGGAGGGCCCUGUUCAUCGGGGCCUUGUGGAAUCAGUAGGAGUUCUCCAGGCGGGUGAGGUAGAAAGAGGAAGUUAACUCCAGGAGGAACAGCCAAGGUGCUGAGAUAGGAGAGGCAGGUAAACAGGUCCACACGGGUGGCGAGGGAAGUGCUGGGGAUGUGACUCAGGUCACAACUCGAGUGCCGGGAGUGACAGCAGCAUCAUGGAGCAGAGAAGUCCAGGACGCGCAUGACAGGCACGGGCAGGGCUAGAGCCAGGCUGGGCUCCCGCGUGCUCGAAACCAUCUUCCUCCACAGGGAGCCCAGUCAGAGCGAGAGGCAAUAGCCUCUGAGGAAGGAGACCUGGGCUGGAGACAGUGGAGGUUACGCAGGGGCCCGAGGCAUGACUGCAGGGCUCCGUCCCAGGGUCACUGUCCUGGGAUCUGCUGCUCCCCUGACAAGCCUUGGGGGCCUCUCUGUGUGAGGAAGCGCUGAGGGAACUGGGCCGGCACGAGGAUGCCAGCAUUGUAUGGCGCAGCCAGAACGCAGGGUAACUAACCGUUUGGUUCUUCGCCCCGAGGGAGAGCUGAGGAAGGCGUGGAUCUCCCCUGUGCUGAGGAAAGUCGGGGGGUCGGGGCUGUCUUGUGUCACUCCUAAUGCAGCACACAACUGGCUGUAGCUCAGCACCUGAGGGGAAGCCAGAGUUAGGGGGUGCAGAGGCCCCGAGGGUGAGGCCCACCCACACCCCAGCACCCCAUGAGAUGCCCAGGUGGCGGGAGGGAGGCACCUCUUCCUGGCUGAUUUCUCCGUAGCGCUUGUCCUCAAACCGCUGCUUCACGGCGGUCAGAGAGACUUGCCUGUAGUCCUUGGGGGCGUCAUCGUGGAAGCUGGAAACAGAGUCACGUGGAGUGGACAUGUGAGGCACCCCCACCCCAUUUUUAGCUUCAGUUCACUGAAGUGAGCAAUGAGAAUGCAAAAUGGUGCAGUCACUCUGGAAUCUGACCUGGCAGUUCCCAGAAUGGUUAAACUCAGUCACCACAGGACCUAGCAAUUCCUCUCUAGGUAAAGACCCAGGAAAAAGGAAAAACUAUGUCCACACAGAAACCUGUACUAGAAUGUUCAUGGCAGGACUGUUCACAAUAGGCAAAAUGUCCACCAGCUGCGGGAUGGAUAAACACAUGUGGUCCAUGCAGGGGACUAUUAUUCAGCCAUGAAAAGGAACAAAGCAGGGACACAUGCCACAUGGACAAACCCAGCAAACGUUACAGCGAGGGAAAUCACCUAGACACAAAAGGCCACUUGUCCGAUGACGCCAUUUAUAUGGAAUGUCCAGAAUGGGAAAAAUCCAUGGACUGAAAGUAGACUACUGGGGGUCAUCUAGCGCUGAGGAAGUUGGGGGGAACGGGAGGGUGACAGCUGAGGGGUGUGUUGUCCCUUUGAGGAAAGUGAAAAUGUCGUCAAUUUGAUUGUUGUGAUGACAAGCACAACUGUGUGAAUACAAGCCCAUUAAAUCACACAAUCAAAGGAAGUGUAGUUUCUAAAUAACGUUUCUAAUUUAUCUGGUUUGGAAAAAAAAUUAACUUCUUCAGGAGGAAGAGAAUAAACGCAGCCCAG
rnacentral:lncRNA from 1 species